rnacentral:rRNA from 1 species
AUAUUUGGCAAUGGAGGGAACUCUGACGCAGCGACGCCGCGUGAGCGAUGAAGGUCUNNNGAUCGNACAGCCCUGUCCUUGGGNAAGNAGGUCUUCGGACUUGACGGUACCUAAGGAGGAAGCCCCGGCUAACUACGUGCCAGCAGCCGCGGUAAUACGUAGGGGGCAAGCGUUGUCCGGAAUUAUUGGGCGUAAAGGGUGCGUAGGCGGCCUUUCAAGUCAGAUGUGAAAGACCACAGCUUAACUGUGGGAUUGCAUUUGAAACUAGAAGGCUUGAGUGUCGGAGAGGGUAGUGGAAUUCCCGGAGUAGCGGUGAAAUGCGUAGAUAUCGGGAGGAACACCGGUGGCGAAGGCGACUACCUGGACGACAACUGACGCUGAGGCACGAAAGCUAGGGGAGCAAAC